AGUGAACGCUGGCGGUAGGCCUAACACAUGCAAGUCGAACGGCAGCACAGUAAGAGCUUGCUCUUAUGGGUGGCGAGUGGCGGACGGGUGAGGAAUACAUCGGAAUCUACUUUUUCGUGGGGGAUAACGUAGGGAAACUUACGCUAAUACCGCAUACGACCUACGGGUGAAAGCAGGGGAUCUUCGGACCUUGCGCGAUUGAAUGAGCCGAUGUCGGAUUAGCUAGUUGGCGGGGUAAAGGCCCACCAAGGCGACGAUCCGGAGCUGGUCUGAGAGGAUGAUCAGCCACACUGGAACUGAGACACGGUCCAGACUCCUACGGGAGGCAGCAGUGGGGAAUAUUGGACAAUGGGCGCAAGCCUGAUCCAGCCAUACCGCGUGGGUGAAGAAGGCCUUCGGGUUGUAAAGCCCUUUUGUUGGGAAAGAAAAGCAGCAGGUUAAUACCCCGCUGUUCUGACGGUACCCAAAGAAUAAGCACCGGCUAACUUCGUG
rnacentral:rRNA from 1 species